AUGUAUGUGCAGACACAUACACGUACCUGUGCACACAUGCAUGUUUGUGUGGCUUUCCGUGUUUGUUGUUUAUUUCCAUUAUUUCUCUGUAGUGCCUUAAUGGUCCCAGUGAUGUCGGCUCAACUCCAGCUCCCUGUGUUUGUCCUCCGGGAAAACCAGGACUGCAGGGUCCCAAGGGUGAACCUGGACAGCCUGGGAACCCUGGCUACCCUGGACAAUCUGGUCAAGAUGGUAAGCCUGGAUAUCAGGGAAUUGCAGGAUCACCAGGUGUCCCAGGAUCCCCGGGAAUACAAGGAGUUCAAGGACUACCAGGUUACAAAGGAGAACCAGGGAGAGAUGGUGAAAAGGGUGACCGUGGACUUCCUGGUUUUCCAGGGCUUCAUGGAAUCCCAGGAUUAAAGGUUGAAAAAAAUCUAGUCUUCUCAUAUUCUACAAUAUUGCAUUUUAUUUCAAAUUAAAAGUAUUUUAUGUUACAAAUGUGUUACGGAUAAAUGCUCAAAUAUAAGGUGUAUUAAAGUAAAUGAUUGGAUUACUAUCAUAGUUUACAUAAAGCUCUUUACAAAUUUUCUUUAAAAUUUCUGGUCACAAAGUUUAUGGUAUUUAGACAUUGAUGAGUAAGUUUUAAUAUAUGGAAAUUCUUUUAACUAUAAGCCCUGAAAGAAAAAAAAAAAACUAUAAGCCCUGUACUUCAGGCCCUGUUAUGGUACCAACCAUCCUUAUUUUUCCUUGUUUUUCUUCAGAAAGCCUCAAAAAUAGGGCUUUUGUAAACAAAACUUAAAUUAUUUUAUUUCUAUUUUAUUUUAUGUUGGCAUAUUAAACCUUGUUUAUAAUUGAUGUUUUUUUCUUUAUCCUUUAAGAGACAUUUUCAUAUUUCUCUAAAAUUCAGUAUUUUAAUUCCAGUUAGUAAACAUACAGUGUUAUCUUACUUUCAUGUGUGUGAUGAGUGAUCCAACAACUGUAUACCUUAUUAUUCAGUAUUCUUCAUAAGUUUACUCUUAAUUACUCUUAAUCCCCUUCACCUAUUUUCCCACCCUCCACCUCUCCUCUGAUAUGCUUUAUUUUAAACGAGUACCCUUAAAGUUACUUUUUUUUUAAGCAAGAACAUUUUUUACUUGAAGCAUACUUCAGAAUACAUCAUUUGAAAAGAUAUAUAUAGAACAAAUAAUAGAAUACACAUUUUCUUCAAGUACACACAAAAAAAUCCCCUGGUUAAAUCACAUAAAGAGAGACAUAACAAAUAUUGGAAUUAAAAUAAAAAACUUAAAUAAAAAUAAAAUUCA
rnacentral:lncRNA from 1 species